UGAAACAUCUAAGUACCCGGAGGAAAGGACAUCAAACGAGACUCCGUUAGUAGUGGCGAGCGAACGCGGACCAGGCCAGUGCUCUUAUCAAUCGAACUGGAACCGUCUGGAAAGUCGGGCCGCAGUGGGUGACAGCCCCGUACAGGUAGGAAAGAUAAGAGACUCGAGUAGGGCGGGACACGUGAAAUCCUGUCUGAACAUGGGGGGACCACCCUCCAAGCCUAAGUACUCCUUACCGACCGAUAGUGAACAAGUACCGUGAGGGAAUGAUGAAAAGAACCCCGAUGAGGGGAGUGAAACAGAUCCUGAAACCGGAUGCCUACAAGCUGAUGGAGCUCUUCGGAGUGACAUCGUACCUUUUGUAUAAUGGGUCAGCGACUUAGUGUUGCGUGCAAGCUUAAGCCGAUAGGUGUAGGCACAGCGAAAGCGAGUCUUAAUAGGGCGACUGAGUUCGAGGGAUGAGACCCGAAGCCGGGUGAUCUAGCCAUGAGCAGGUUGAAGGUGCAGUAACAUGCACUGGAGGACCGAACCCACGUCUGUUGAAAAAGACGGGGAUGACUUGUGGCUAGGGGUGAAAGGCCAAUCAAACUCGGAAAUAGCUGGUUCUCCGCGAAAUCUAUUUAGGUAGAGCGUCUCGUGAAUACCCAUGGGGGUAGAGCACUGGAUGGGCUAGGGGGUCCCAACGACUUACCAAACCUAACCAAACUCCGAAUACCAUGGAGUACUGCGAGGCAGACACACUGCGGGUGCUAAGGUCCGUAGUGAAGAGGGAAACAGCCCUGACCGCCAGCUAAGGUCCCUAAGUUAUCACUAAGUGGGAAACGAUGUGGGAGUGCUUAGACAACCAGGAGGUUGGCUUAGAAGCAGCCAUCCUUUAAAGA
rnacentral:rRNA from 11 species